rnacentral:lncRNA from 1 species
UGCACCAGAGCAGUGGCUGUGCAGGCGAGGAGAGCUCGGAACUGGCUCCAUGGGAGAGGGUCCUUUGCCUGUCAGAGCCUUCCCAGCUGGGAGAAGCAGUGCUGCCGGCUCUGGUCCCAGAGCCCUAUCAGCCGAGCCUGUGCCGAAUUAAUCACUUGCGUUUUAAAUGCCAAUACAGCCCUUUCUGCCUUCUUCCCCCAGUGAUGCGGAUGCGGCGAAGGCAGCAAAUCCUCCGGCUGUGCGUGCCCUCCCUGGACUGCUGCUCCAUCCCCGCCUGUCGUGCUCGCGCGUGUGCAUGGCUGGGAGCGCUGCCUAGGUGCGGCCGGGAAUGAGCCAGCUGCGGGGCAAGCAACGCUACAGCUCCAAGGGGUGACACCAGUGGGGGACACCCCCCACACAAACACAUCUGCAGGGCUGCAAGUUGCAUGAGGACUGGGGUCUUUUGUGCCUCCACUUUGUCUCUGUCAUGCCCCGUAUGGAAGCUGGGAGCAGUCACCCCUCCAGGAGCAGAAGGCGAAGUCGUUCGCAAUGAAUCCAUGGCAGCUUCGAUCGAGCGGUGAGCUGGAGCCCCUACUCACAGGCCACUCCUUCAUGUGACUGAACAGAGACCUUUCCCAGCACUCACCAAGGAGAGCAGAGCCCUGGAUUUACCUCCCGCGCAGCCGGCACCCCCAGCGCAGGCACUGCGAGACAGAGAAGGCAAGGAGCAAAUGAAGUGGUCUCGGGCUGAAGUGCUCGCCCAUCAGGCGUUUGAAUGGCUGUUUGUCGCUGCAGACUGCGUGGCUCGAGGCAGAGAUUCCAGUGACAGAUGGAUCUCUCUCGUGCGCACUUGCUCUUUCCUUCUCUGUAUUUUUGUUUUCGACAUGUUUGAUCCAAAGCUCUGAAGCUUCUCAGAGGGAACCCAGGAAAGAAGGAAGGGAAGGAGUAGAAACCAAGGGAGCGUGAGCGACACAGGAGGCAGCCCUGCCUUGUUCUUCCAAAUCACACUGUGGAGGGGCGGGGGAAGACUAGAGGGGGAGGACUUGG